rnacentral:rRNA from 1 species
UACGGAGGGUGCAAGCGUUGUCCGGAUUUAUUGGGUUUAAAGGGUGCGUAGGCGGUUUUGUAAGUCAGUGUUUAAAGUCAGCAGCUUAACUGUUGUAGUGGCAUUGAUACUGCAGAACUUGAGUAAAGUUGAGGUUGGCGGAAUUUAUGGUGUAGCGGUGAAAUGCAUAGAUACCAUAAAGAACACCGAUUGCGAAGGCAGCUAACUAGCUUAACUGACGCUGAGGCACGAAAGCGUGGGGAUCAAACAGG